rnacentral:rRNA from 1 species
AUUGAACGCUGGCGGCAGGCCUAACACAUGCAAGUCGAGCGAGCGGCGGACGGGUGAGGAAUGUCUGGGAACCUGCCUGAUGGAGGGGGAUAACUACUGGAAACGGUAGCUAAUACCGCAUACCAUCAGAUGUGCCCAGAUGGGAUUAGCUAGUAGGUGGGGUAACGGCUCACCUAGGCGACGAUCCCUAGCUGGUCUGAGAGGAUGACCAGCCACACUGGAACUGAGACACGGUCCAGACUCCUACGGGGGGCAGCAGUGGGGAAUAUUGGACAAUGGGCACAAGCCUGAUGCGGCCAUGCCGCGGGUGAGAAGAAGGCCUUCGGGUGGUAAAGGACUGUCAGCGAGGAGGCGUUACCCACAGAAGAAGCACCGGCUAACUCCGUGCCAGGAGCCGCGGUAAUUC